GCAUCCGUAGCUCAGCUGGAUAGAGUACUCGGCUACGAACCGAGCGGUCGUAGGUUCGAAUCCUCCCGGAUGCACCA
rnacentral:tRNA from 2 species